UACGUAGGGGGCAAGCGUUGUCCGGAAUCAUUGGGCGUAAAGAGCGUGUAGGCGGCCCGGUAAGUCCGCCGUGAAAGUCGAGGGCUCAACCCUCGAAUGCCGGCGGAUACUGUCGGGCUAGAGUCCGGAAGAGGCGAGUGGAAUUCCUGGUGUAGCGGUGAAAUGCGCAGAUAUCAGGAGGAACACCUACGGCGAAGGCAGCUCGCUGGGACGGUACUGACGCUGAGACGCGAAAGCGUGGGGAGCAAACAGG
rnacentral:rRNA from 1 species